AGCGAACGCUGGCGGCAGGCCUAACACAUGCAAGUCGAACGAAGCCUUCGGGCUUAGUGGCGGACGGGUGAGUAACACGUGGGAACGUACCUUUUGGUUCGGAAUAACGCAGAGAAAUUUGCGCUAAUACCGAAUGAGCCCUUAGGGGGAAAGAUUUAUCGCCGAAAGAUCGGCCCGCGUUGGAUUAGGUAGUUGGUGUGGUAAAGGCGCACCAAGCCUACGAUCCAUAGCUGGUCUGAGAGGAUGAUCAGCCACACUGGGACUGAGACACGGCCCAGGCUCCUACGGGAGGCAGCAGUGGGGAAUCUUGCGCAAUGGGCGAAAGCCUGACGCAGCCAUGCCGCGUGAAUGAUGAAGGUCUUAGGAUUGUAAAAUUCUUUUACCAGGGACGAUAAUGACGGUACCUGGAGAAAAAGCCCCGGCUAACUUCGUGCCAGCCGCCGCUGUAACAC
rnacentral:rRNA from 1 species